rnacentral:rRNA from 1 species
UUAGAGUUUGAUCCUGGCUCAGAACGAACGCUGGCGGCAGGCCUAACACAUGCAAGUCGAGCGGUCCUCCCAUCUUCGGGUGGUGGGGGUAGCGGCAGACGGGUGAGUAACGCGUGGGAACCUGCCCAGGGGUACGGAAUAACCCGGGGAAACCCGGACUAAUACCGUAUACGUCCCUCGGGAGAAAGAUUUAUCGCCCUUGGAUGGGCCCGCGUAGGAUUAGCUGGUUGGUGGGGUAACGGCCUACCAAGGCGACGAUCCUUAGCUGUUCUGAGAGGAAGAUCAGCCACACUGGGACUGAGACACGGCCCAGACUCCUACGGGAGGCAGCAGUGGGGAAUCUUGGACAAUGGGCGCAAGCCUGAUCCAGCCAUGCCGCGUGAGUGAAGAAGGCCUUAGGGUUGUAAAGCUCUUUCACCGGUGACGAUAAUGACGGUAGCCGGAGAAGAAGCCCCGGCUAACUUCGUGCCAGCAGCCGCGGUAAUACGAAGGGGGCUAGCGUUGUUCGGAAUUACUGGGCGUAAAGCGCGCGUAGGCGGAUGGUUAAGUCAGAGGUGAAAGCCCGGUGCUCAACACCGGAACUGCCUUUGAUACUGGCCAUCUUGAGA